rnacentral:rRNA from 1 species
UCUACGGGGCGCUGCAGUGGGGAAUAUUGGACAAUGGGCGAAAGCCUGAUCCAGCCAUGCCGCGUGUGUGAAGAAGGCCUUCGGGUUGUAAAGCACUUUCAGUGGGGAAGAAAGCCUUGGGGCUAAUACCCUCGAGGAAGGACAUCACCCACAGAAGAAGCACCGGCUAACUCCGUGCCAGCAGCCGCGGUAAUACGGAGGGUGCGAGCGUUAAUCGGAAUUACUGGGCGUAAAGCGCGCGUAGGCGGUCUGAUAAGCCGGUUGUGAAAGCCCCGGGCUCAACCUGGGAACGGCAUCCGGAACUGUCAGGCUAGAGGGCAGGAGAGGAAGGUAGAAUUCCCGGUGUAGCGGUGAAAUGCGUAGAGAUCGGGAGGAAUACCAGUGGCGAAGGCGGCCUUCUGGACUGACACUGACGCUGAGGUGCGAAAGCGUGGGUAGCAAACAGGAUUAGAUACCCCGGUAGUC